rnacentral:rRNA from 1 species
ACGGGGGGUGCAAGCGUUGUUCGGAAUCAUUGGGCGUAAAGAGCGUGUAGGCGGCUUAACAAGUCAGAUGUGAAAUCCCUGGGCUUAACCCAGGAAGUGCAUUUGAAACUGUUUGGCUUGAGUAAGGGAGAGGAAAGUGGAAUUCCUGGUGUAGAGGUGAAAUCCGGAGAUCUCAGGAGGACCACCGGUGGCGAAGGCGACUUACCAGACCUGUACUGACGGUGAGGCGCGAAAGCGUGGGUAGCAAACCG